UACAGAGGUCUCAAGCGUUGUUCGGAUUCAUUGGGCGUAAAGGGUGUGUAGGUGGCGCCGUAAGUCGGGUGUGAAAUUUCGGAGCUUAACUCCGAAACUGCAUUCGAUACUGCGGUGCUUGAGGACUGGAGAGGAGACUGGAAUUUACGGUGUAGCGGUGAAAUGCGUAGAUAUCGUGAGGAAGACCAGUGGCGAAGGCGGGUCUCUGGACAGUUCCUGACGCUGAGGCGCGAAGGCCAGGGGAGCAAACGGG
rnacentral:rRNA from 1 species